UGCCAGCCGCCGCGGUAAUACGGAGGGGGUUAGCGUUGUUCGGAAUUACUGGGCGUAAAGCGCGCGUAGGCGGACUAUUAAGUGAGAGGUGAAAUCCCGGAGCUUAACUCCGGAACUGCCUUCAAUACUACUAAUCUUGAGUUCGGAAGAGGUGAGUGGAAUUCCUAGUGUAGAGGUGAAAUUCGUAGAUAUUAGGAAGAACAUCAGUGGCGAAGGCGACUCACUGGUCCGAUACUGACGCUGAGGUGCGAAAGCGUGGGGAGCAAACAGGAUUAGAUA
rnacentral:rRNA from 1 species